rnacentral:lncRNA from 1 species
ACAAGGUCCUGAGUUCAAUCCCCAGUACCAAAAAAAAAAAAUAUAUAUCAGAAUCUAACUAUAAAAUUAUGGUUUUACAUUUUAUAUUUGUUAAGGGUAUACAAAAUAUUCUAAUGUGUUUUUCAGUAAAACCAUCAAUCCGCCAACUCUCUUUCUACACAAAUGAGACUAGGAGUAUGUUUCCAACAGCUACAAAGACGUCUGGAAAGAAUGUUAUUCUGGAGUAGCCCAUUCUUGUCUGUUCAGCGUGCAAAAGAGGAAGUACAAGCUCCUUCCACCAGGGAGAAGAGCAGAAGGAAGUUCACCUGCCAGCACAUGCACACCCAGGAGUGGAAGAGGCCAAAAUCCAAACGGUGCUGAAGAAUUGUUCUGAAAGGC